GGGGCUAUAGCUCAGUCGGUUAGAGCGCUUCCCUGAUAAGGAAGAGGUCCCAGGUUCAAGUCCUGGUAGCCCCACCA
rnacentral:tRNA from 18 species